GGCUCGAUGGUGCAAUUGUAACACAUCCUGUGUUGGUUCUUGCACAAGCACCUCUUGCAGGAAGUCUGGAGUCCGAUCCUCCGUUGAGCCA